rfam:Coccomyxa subellipsoidea C-169, whole genome shotgun sequence.
GGACCCAUAGCUCAGUGGGGGAGCAAUCGGCUGCAGUCUGGUAGGUCAGCGGUUCAAUCCCGCUUGGGUCCU